GACGAACCGAGCGAACGUUGUUCGGAAUCACUGGGCUUAAAGGGCGCGUAGGCGGGUGCUCAAGUCCGGGGUGAAAUCCUCCAGCUCAACUGGAGAACUGCCUCGGAUACUGGGUGCCUCGAGGGUGGCAGGGGUAUGCGGAACUAUCGGUGGAGCGGUGAAAUGCGUUGAUAUCGAUAGGAACUCCGGUGGCGAAGGCGGCGAGCCUGGUCCGAUACUGACGCUGAGGCGCGAAAGCGUGGGGAGCAAACAGGAUUGAGACGUACCGGUGUAAGUCCGAGACCAAUCCUCUGCUACGUAAC
rnacentral:rRNA from 1 species